UCCUUCUCUGGAAAAAUGUGGCCCCACUUGAGAUAUGAGCUGAGUCCUCUGGGCUCAAGUAAACUCACCAGUCCACAUUCUUCUCCCAACAGGAAUCACUGCAACUUUUGUCCAGAUGUACUCUACCUCAUGCUACACUUGAGCUAAAUUUUUUCAGUGGCAUCUGUAAUCACAAGGGACUUUCCUAUCAUAGAGAGAAGGGCAAGCCAGAGUUUAUAUUUCGAUUCUUAAUAAAGUUUUUCAAAGCCUCAGUUUCUUCAUCUGAGCAAAUUGAGUAAUUAUAGCACUUUCCUCUAAGGGCAGGAAAAUUAAAGAGGAUGGCAGUUUUAAAGUGUCCAGUGUCAUGCCUGGUAAUAAAUGUUAACUCUUUUCCUCACUUCUACCCUGUUGAGCAGCAGACAUCUUUAAAUUUAUUUUAAAUUUAAAUAUGUGUUUCUUGGCACUGGACUUGGCAUUAGGAGUUACAGUUAGAUUGUGGAGUUGGAAAUGAAACCAUAGUUGUGACUUUUGUACCCAAGAGUCCAACCCUGUUUUAAACUCCAAGGCAGAUCCCUAAAUUAAUUAUCACCUGCUCACCAGUUACCUUCUGAGGUUGGACAGUGCCUUAGCAGCUGACUGGAGCCUUCCUUCGGAGGUUAGUUAGAUCAGCGGUUCUCAACUUGUGGGUCGCGACCCCUUUGGCGGUCGAACGACCCUUUCACAGGGGUCGCCUAAGACCAUCCUGCAUAUCAGAUAUUUACAUUACGAUUCAUAACAGUAGCAACAUUACAUUUAUGAAGUAGCAACGAAAAUAAUUUUAUGGUUGGGUCACAACAUGAGGAACUGUAUUUAAAGGGCCAGAAGGUUGAGAACCACUGAGUUAGAUGAUACGGUGAAGGAAAGAAGACCAACAAGUAGCAAGUGCUGAGGUGGAAGUAAAUAAACAUCAUUUGCUUUCUCUUAAUCCUUAAGCUACCACUAUCAAGGGGAACAUAGUAAUGUUUGUUAAUGCACAUGGAAUGGCCUUGCUCCCUCUUCUGUCCUCCCACCUACCUAGGGAUUAGACUGGGGAACAACUGUAGGCUGUGCUCUGUAGGUCACUGCACUGGGUAGGUGGAUUUAGACACUGAGUGACCCAGACCUGGAGCAGUCAGAUGAAAGAGAGUGGUCCUCCCUGCCUGCCCUUCUUUUAGCGGUUAAACAGAGGGAUUGGAAGGGGCAGGGAAGGGUGGUGUGGCCCAAGCUGGCAGCCUGCUCCCCUGAGUUCCUGAGCUUUGAGAACAAGAGGAGGUGAAAGGGUAACAGGCCAUAUGGAAGCCAUUUGUCAGCAAGAGCAGUCUGGUCUGUUCUGCUGAGAAGGGAAGUAGGGAAAGGGGCUGGCAUAUUACUGGGCUGGAGCAAGAAGAGAGCAAAGCAAGAUUCCCCGAGUGUCUCUUCUCCAGUAUCCAGAAAUGUCUGUAACAGCCCUUUUUCUUUUCUUUGCCCUCCCCCAUUCUAAAUCCCAGAGGUGAGGGUUUGGUUUGCUAUGAGAAAAUAAAUGUACAAAAGUUAUCCAUGCCUGGUAUGUGUCAGGCAUGAUGCAGUUUUUUAUCUGUCCUUACAAAUACUUCAUAGAGAUGAGUAUUGGCUGUUAAAGAGUGAGGCUCAGAGAGUUCAGGCAGUUGACAGUGUUGCAGAGCAGGCCCCCUGUUCAAACCCAGAUUCAUCUGUCUAAUGCAAAACCAUGCUUUAACAUCCCCCACUUCACCCCACUCCACCCCCCGGCUUUGAUCCUGGGGCCUUUUUGCUGUUUUCUGUUCUUGAAACUUAUCUCAAAUCAGAAACCAUGUGAUCGUUUGCAGUUGGAAAUAAGACAGUGCCUUGAAAUGUGGGCAAAAUUUUGCAAGUUAAGUAGUUUUCUACUAAGCAUCUACCCUCUGUCAGAUUCUGUGCAAAGAACUGGAGAUACAAAAAUGAGCAAAACAACUGCCUACAGUGUUGGUGGGUGGAGGUUAGAGUGGGUGGGGGUUAGUAGAGAGGAGGGGGAAGGACUGACCUGUGAGUAAUUUCAGAGACAGUGUGGUGAUAGUUUACAGAGAGGAGUGAAGAAGAUGUUUCUAGAACACAGAGGAAUAAUAAGACUACAGACCCAACACCAGGCACUUUACCUGCAAAAUUGUGGUUAAUCUGCACAGGAACCCUGUGAGGCAGACACCUUUAGUAUCCCCAUUUUACAAUGAGGGAACUGAGGAGUAGGAAAACCUGCCCAAACCCACACUGUGGGUAACUGUCAAGCAGUUCACACCUGGGCACUCUCAUUUUAGGCCCAUGCUGGUAAGCUGUACCUUGUGCUGCUUAGUUCUCUCUGGUGUUCUCUGGGUUGGUUUGGGUUUCUUGGUGGCAGACAGUUCUGAAUCUUGAAAGAUGGGUGGGGUUCUAGCUGACCAUAUGUGCUUUCAGGUCAGGGUUUCUAGGCUGAGGAGAGAAACAACACUUCUUCCAAAAUGACUAAGAACUUCGGUGGCUGGUUCCAGGUGACAAGUUUUCAUGCCUGGGCCAGGGCCCAGUAAAGAAAACGUUGUUCUUGUUGGCUCUACAGCUGCUGGCAGGCAUUUCCCCUCUCCUGUGAGUUGGAGGCUUAGGAAAGUGGUGGUGGAGUCUAGGAGGAGCUGCAGGGGCACCCUAAGCCAUGGGUGAUUUCUCCCUCUAUUUUCCCACCCCUGCCCCAGGGCCACACCCUGGGAAAGGCUGGCCCUCCCCCAUCGUGUGGGAAUUUCUCAUGAGAAAAGGGAUCCUGGCUGGACAAUGGGCUUCCUGUCUCACUACUAGGAAGGUUUAUCUGAGAGAAGAGGAAGGUUGCAAAUGGCAUGAGAAAUCAUCUUUUCUCUCUUGCUGCAGCCUGUUUUUAGACUUAACUAUUUGAGUUGGAGGACCAGGAAAGCAGCCAGGGAGAGCCAUGGACUGAAGAGCCCUUGGGCAUCUUUUGAGAAAUAGAACUCCUCCUGCCUGUUUCCCCUGCUUCCACCUGCCCUGACAGAUGCAGUAGCUUCUGCGCAUACAGGAUGCUUCUCAAAUCUCUCACAACCUAUGCUCAUUUCAAAAACCACAGUAGGACUUUUGUGAAGGAACCCCAAAUAGAUGGUGAGAACAGGACAGCCAAGACACCCACCCAGCUUGAGACAAAUUUGCAAAUCUCAAAAGAGACCACUGAGGUCAUCUGGUUCAGUGCUUUCAUGUACUGAAAUUCAGGCCCUGAGAGGCUAGUGUUUGCAGGCAAUGCCCAGAUUGCCUUUGUCACUGGGCUCCUCUCACUGUAGCUCCCCUUCCAGGAUGUGAGUGUGGGAGAAGCUGGGCUUGGAAAUUCUUUGUUACUAUCCACUGCCAUUAUGACCAUGAGCAAGUACUGCCCCCUGCUGAGUGACUGUGGGCAAGUUUCUUCACCUCUCAAUUUGUUCAUCUGUCUAAUGCAGCAGUUCUCAACCUGUGGGUCGCGACCCCUUUGGGGAUUGAACGACUCUUUCACAGGGGUUGCCUAAGACCAUCAGAAAACACAUAUAUAAUUACAUAUUGUUUUUGUGAUUAAUCACUGUGCUUUAAUUAUGUUCAAUUUGUAACAAUGAAAAUACAUCCUACAUAUCAUAUUUAUAUUACGAUUCAUAACAGUAGCAAAAUUACACUUAUGAAGUAGCAACGAAAAUAAUUUUAUGGUUGGGGGUCACCACAACAUGAGGAACUGUACUAAAGGGAGGUUGAGAACCACUGGUCUAAUGUUAUAGAGUGUGUGUGUGUGUGUGUGUGUGUGUGUGUGUGUGUGUGUAAGAGAGGGAGGAAGGCAGAGUGAGAGAGACAUUGAUCAAUCUCACCCACCCCCAUACGUGCCCUAACUAGGAAUUGAACCUGUUAGCCUCCGGUGCACAGGACAAUGAUCCAUCUAGUUGAGCCAUACUGGCCAGGGCUGUUGUAAUAUGCUUUUUACAGGAUAAAUAUAUUUACUAGUGGCCCGGUGCACAGAUUCAUGCACAUUGAAAGGAAAUUAAUUAGAAGAAUUAUUUUAAUAUCACUGUUCACCUUUUCUCUAUAAUAGAAAUGUCAACCAAAUUCACAAUCGACAAUGACAGAUUAAAACAUGCAUGCGAUUGGUGCCACCGAGAGCUUUAUAUGUAUGGCAUAUAUGCAAGUCAACUUAGCCCUUUAUAUAUAUAUAUAUAUAGAAUAAACUUGCUUAAUUAAACCUGCUUUGUGAUGUAGCUAAACUUUUUCCAGCCCAGUGAAGCACCUGAACUUCUCUUUCAGGUAAUUGUCAGCAACACAGCAGUAAAUAUCAACACAAAGCAGAUUAUUAUUGUAGAUCAUGCAGGGAGAUUUACAUAUUUAACUACAGCAGUGUUUGAUUAUAUUCUGUGCAGUGAGAAAACCUGAAGUAAUUUUCAAGGUCCACCAUUUCUUCUUUUCAGUCGGGUCAAGUUUCUAAGCUUUCUAAAUCUCUGUUUUCCGGCUAAAGAAAAUAAAAUAGAAUUCCACUGAAUCUCCUAUCUACCUACUCCAGGACUUCUGUAAGAAUCAAGUGAGGUGAGGCACAGGAAAACGCUUCAUAGACAUUUGGUUAAAGUGUAAAAUGUUUGUACCUGGCUAUAAAGCAAGUCGUGUUCCUGGGCUGAAGAAACUACAAGGAGGCUAGUCGUAGCUAGGGAGAGGAAGCUGAACAUUUCUACGUGAAGUCAUUAUCUGGCAUCCACAGUGACCGUUUUUGGGCUGGGCUGUGGGCUGCAUUUUGUGCCAUGGGGCCUCAGCAGUGUCGGCUGUGAUUUGGUGGGGUGUCACUCCAGGGUGUUGGCAGGGCCUGUGUCCCACUUGGGGGAAGCCCAGUGUUGCUUUGUGAGCACCAGGUCCACGAUACCAGUGUGCAUCAAAGCAGCUCCUGUGUUGAGCUUCUGCCCCCUGGUGGUCAGUGCGCAUCAUAGCGACCGGUCAGACAGUCAGACACCUAGCACAUUAGCCUUUUACAUAUAUAGAUUGAUUUCAGAGAGGAAGGGAGAGAGAGAGAGAGAAACACCAAUGAUGAGAGAGAAUCACUGAUCUGCUGCCUCCUGCAAACCCCCUACUGGGGAUUGAGCCUGCAACCUGGGCAUGUGACCUUGACUAGAAUCGAACCUGGGACCCUUCAGUCUGCAAGCCGAUGUUCUAUCCAUCGAGCCAAACCAGCUAGGGCUUACAGGAUUUUUGAGAAGCUUAAAUGCAUUAUACUUGUAAAGUGCUCUAAUGCUUGGCGUAUAAUAAGUGGUCAAUAAACAUGUUAUAACCGAGAUUUAAAGGAGGCCUCAGAAGAAACCUAUUGACUCUAAUCAUAUGUGUUCAUUCUCCCCCCUUGUCCCUCGUUUGCAUUUGUCUGAAAUGCCCAAUCUCAUCUUUCUUGGGAGGCUUUCUUAAGGAGGAUCACCUCCCAUUUGAACUAGCCUUUUCACACUAUAACAUGACUUUCCCUUUCACACACACAGGAGCUAGAUGUUCCAAAAGCUCCAGAGAGUGAACCACAGAAUGGAACCUGGUGUCCUGCCCUGCUCAGCCAGCCCACGUUAGCUUAGUGGUCAAGCCUGCAGCUUAGGAGCCAGAGUGCCUAUUGAAUCCAGCUUUAUCAUUUACAAAAAUAGAAAGAGGAAGGGAGAGAGAUAGAAACAUCAUUGAGAGAGAAACAUCGGUUAUAUGCCUCCUGCAUGCCCCCUACCGAGCCUGCAACCUGGGAAUGUACCCUGACCCUGACCAGGAGUGAAGCUGGUGACCUCUUGGUGCAUGGGAUGACACUCAAUCAAUUGAACUACACUGGCUGGGCGAAGUCCUUAUGUUUUUAUCCUGUUUCAGAGCAUAGCACAAUGACCCCUACACAGUAAUCAAUAAAUAUUAGUUGAAUUGAAAUGAAUUGCAAGUCACUUCUUUGUAGACCUCACUUUUUUACUUAUAAAAAUGAGUGCUAGAUGACCUUCAGGAUCUCACUCAAAGAUCCUGUGAAGAUGUGGGCUUUAAGAGCAUAAAUUCCCAGCAAAGCAGGAGUGGCUUUAGAAUCAGCUCUUCCCUGGAGACCAUCCUUCCCAACACACUUGACCUGUGUGGGGGUCUUGCCUGCUUCAGGGAUGCCCUGCAUUAAUUAUGCUGAGAAAAUGAACCAAUUAGACACAGUCGGAGGAGAGCUGGAGGCAUCUGUGUGGCAGGCUUGUUGCCUGAACAAAAGGGUUAAAGGGUGAAGCAGUUUGCUGAGGUUUCUUUGGAAAUGUAGCUGGCCAGCUCUUUGAAGUAUUUGGCCGAAGUUUAAAGAGGCACCAGAAGGAGUGUUUGGUGUCUGUCUGCGUCCUGGUGGCUUAGAAACAGUGUGGGGAAGGUGUGUCCUUAGAGGGGACCGAGGAGACAUGGGGACCCAUCUCCUAGUGGACUCAUCUCGUAGUUUCAGACUUCUCCUCCUGAUCCCUGUGGCACCUAUCCCAGCUUUGUUUUAGUAACAGCUCUUUUAAAAUGAAGUUUUCCCCCAUCUUAGUGAUAAGCAACUAGAGAGCAGGGAGCCAUCCUCUAUCCUCACCAACAGUCAGCUUGCUUAAGAGCAUUUUGUAGGUUGACGGGAAGUGGUAUUUGGUGAGAGGCUGUAAGGGCACCUCUGAGUAAGAGAGUAGUGGAUGGGCCUCUGAAUGGGAGAGCGCAAUAUCUGGGACAGACAGACUCUAGGUCUGUUAGAGGAAGUGAAAAAACAAACAAAACAAAACAAGAAA